rnacentral:rRNA from 1 species
AGAGUUUGAUCAUGGCUCAGGAUGAACGCUAGCGGCAGGCCUAACACAUGCAAGUCGAGGGGUAGUAGGUGCUUGCACUUAUGAGACCGGCGCACGGGUGCGUAACGCGUAUGCAAUCUACCUUUUACUGAGGGAUAGCCCAGAGAAAUUUGGAUUAAUACCUCAUAGUAUUAUUGAGUGGCAUCAUUUGAUAAUUAAAGUUCCAACGGUAAAAGAUGAGCAUGCGUCCCAUUAGUUAGUUGGUAAGGUAACGGCUUACCAAGACUAUGAUGGGUAGGGGUCCUGAGAGGGAGAUCCCCCACACUGGUACUGAGACACGGACCAGACUCCUAGGGGAGGCAGCAGUGAGGAAUAUUGGACAAUGGGCGCAAGCCUGAUCCAGCCAUGCCGCGUGCAGGAAGACGGUCCUAUGGAUUGUAAACUGCUUUUAUACAGGAAGAAACACUCCCUCGUGAGGGAGCUUGACGGUACUGUAGGAAUAAGGAUCGGCUAACUCCGUGCCAGCAGCCGCGGUAAUACGGAGGAUCCAAGCGUUAUCCGGAAUCAUUGGGUUUAAAGGGUCCGUAGGCGGCCUUAUAAGUCAGUGGUGAAAUCUCCUAGCUCAACUAGGAAACUGCCAUUGAAACUGUAGGGCUUGAAUUAUUAGGAAGUAACUAGAAUAUGUAGUGUAGCGGUGAAAUGCUUAGAUAUUACAUGGAAUACCAAUUGCGAAGGCAGGUUACUACUAAUGGAUUGACGCUGAUGGACGAAAGCGUGGGUAGCGAACAGGAUUAGAUACCCUGGUAGUCCACGCCGUAAACGAUGGAUACUAGCUGUUCGGAGCAAUCUGAGUGGCUAAGCGAAAGUGAUAAGUUCCCCCCUGGA